UACAGAGGUCCCGAGCGUUGUUCGGAUUCACUGGGCGUAAAGGGUGCGUAGGUGGUGAGGUAAGUCGGAUGUGAAAUCUCCGGGCUCAACCCGGAAAUGGCAUUGGAAACUACCUUGCUGGAGGAUUUGAGGGGGGAUUGGAAUACUUGGUGUAGCAGUGAAAUGCGUAGAUAUCAAGUGGAACACCAGUGGCGAAGGCGAGUCUCUGGACAUUUCCUGACGCUGAGGCACGAAAGCCAGGGGAGCAAACGGG
rnacentral:rRNA from 1 species